UACGGGGGGGGGCAAGCGUUGUUCGGAAUUACUGGGCGUAACGGGCUCGUAGUCGGCCAACUAAGUCGGAUGUGAAAUCCCCAGGCUCAACCUGGGAACUGCAUCCGAUACUGGAUGGCUUGAAUUCGGGAGAGGGAUGCAGAAUUCCAGGUGUAGCGGUGAAAUGCGUAGAUAUCUGGAGGAAUACCGGUGGCGAAGGCGGCAUCCUGGACCGACAUUGACGCUGAUGAGCGAAAGCUAGGGGAGCAAACGGG
rnacentral:rRNA from 1 species